UACGGGGGGGCAAGCGUUGUUCGGAAUUACUGGGCGUAAAGGGCUCGUAGGCGGCCAACUAAGUCAGACGUGAAAUCCCUCGGCUUAACCGGGGAACUGCGUCUGAUACUGGUUGGCUUGAGUGUGGGAGAGGGAGUGCGGAAUUCCAGGUGUAGCGGUGAAAUGCGUAGAUAUCUGGAGGAACACCGGUGGCGAAGGCGGCAUCCUGGACCAUUACUGACGCUGAGGAGCGAAAGCCAGGGGAGCAA
rnacentral:rRNA from 1 species